rnacentral:rRNA from 1 species
CGCGAAAACUUUACAAUGCGGGAAACCGUGAUAAGGGAACACUGAUUGCUAGCAUUUAUGUUAGCUGUCCACAUGUGUAAAUAGCAUGUGAUAGCAAGGGCUGGGCAAGACCGGUGCCAGCCGCCGCGGUAACACCUGGCAGCCCGAGUGGUGAUCACUAUUAUUGGGUCUAAAGGGUCCGUAGCCGGUUUAAUCAGUCUUCUGGGAAAUCUACUCGCUUAACUAUUAGGCUUCCAGGGGAUACUGUUAGACUUGGGACCGGGAGAGGUAAGAGGUACUGCAGGGGUAGGAGUGAAAUCUUGUAAUCCCUGUGAGACCACCAGUGGCGAAGGCGUCUUACCAGAACGGGUCCGACGGUGAGGGACGAAAGCUGGGGGCACGAACCGGAUUAGAUA